UUUGGUUCUGACACAAAGAUAAAUUCUCCCUAAAAGUUCGGAAUGGAGUAGAAAAGCUUUUUUGUGAAAGGCAGAUGCUGUUUUGAAAGUGUCUUUGAUGCUCCGCCAUUUUAGGAUGUAGCUGUGACGUCAUCGUGUAUUUCGUUUUCAAGUGGACAAGCAUUUCCGACUCCCGUGUAAGUUAUCUCCCUUAAAUUUGUACAAGGAUCGGCUCUGAAUUAUCCUACUCCAAAAAUAAGGAUAAUUGUUAGAUAUAUAUAAUAAAUUUAUAAAAUCUUAUAUAAAUAGAUAUAUUUUUAUAAAUGUGUGGGUGUGGUUUAUUUCUUUGUUGAGGGGAUAGGUGAAAACAUGGUGUUGACUUGUAAAUGAUACACAAGUAAGGUCAGCUUGGUUAUUAAGUAAGUUACGUGUUUUAUCAUACAGAUAUAAGUAGUGUUCUCAUUUACAUGAAAAAGCAAUGUUCAUUGAAGAAUCCGGAAAUUGUUUUUAGAAUGGAUUCUUCUUAUAUUUGUUGUACAUGUCUUUAAAAAUUAAUCAUU